UGGGGAAUAUUGCGCAAUGGGCGAAAGCCUGACGCAGCGACGCCGCGUGGGGGAUGACGGCCUUCGGGUUGUAAACCUCUUUCAGCAGGGACGAAGCGAAAGUGACGGUACCUGCAGAAGAAGCACCGGCCAACUACGUGCCAGCAGCCGCGGUAAUACGUAGGGUGCAAGCGUUGUCCGGAAUUAUUGGGCGUAAAGAGCUCGUAGGCGGUUUGUUGCGUCGGCUGUGAAAACCUGAGGCUCAACCUCAGGCCUGCAGUCGAUACGAGCAAACUAGAGUGUUGCAGGGGAGACUGAAAUUCCUGGUGUAGCGGUGAAAUGCGCAGAUAUCAGGAGGAACACCGGUGGCGAAGGCGGGUCUCUGGGCAACAACUGACGCUGAGGAGCGAAAGCGUGGGGAGCGAACAGGAUUAGAUACCCUGGCAGUCCACGCCGUAAACGUUGGGCGCUAGGUGUGGGGCUCAUUCCACGAGUUCCGUGCCGCAGCUAACGCAUUAAGCGCCCCGCCUGGGGAGUACGGCCGCAAGGCUAAAACUUAAAUGAAUUGACGGGGUCAUAGCUGUUUCCU
rnacentral:rRNA from 1 species